rnacentral:misc_RNA from 1 species
GAUGAAGAACGCAGCGAAAUGCGAUAACUAAUGUGAAUUGCAGAAUUCAGUGAAUCAUCGAAUCUUUGAACGCACAUUGCGCCCCCUGGUAUUCCGGGGGGCAUGCCUGUUCGAGCGUCAUUUCACCACUCAAGCCUCGCUUGGUAUUGGGCAACGCGGUCCGCCGCGUGCCUCAAAUCGACCGGCUGGGUCUUCUGUCCCCUAAGCGUUGUGGAAACUAUUCGCUAAAGGGUGUUCGGGAGGCUACGCCGUAAAACAACCCCAUUUCUAAGGUUGACCUCGGAUCAGGUAGGGAUACCCGCUGAACUUAAGCAUAUCAAUAAGCGGAGGA